GUGUCAGCCGCCGCGGUAAAACGUAGGAGGCAAGCGUUAUCCGGAGUUACUGGGCGUAAAGCGCGUGUAGGUGGCUUGGUAAGUUACUUAUAAAAGCUCUUGGCUAAACUAAGAGAGGUUGAGUGAUACUGCCAGGCUUGAAUCGAGGAGAGGUUGACGGAAUUCCGCGUGUAGUGGUGAAAUGCGUAGAGAUGCGGAAGAACACCAGUGGCGAAGGCGGUCAACUGGCCUCAGAUUGACACUGAUACGCGAAAGCAUGGGUAGCGAACGGGAUUAGAAACCCGCGUAGUCC
rnacentral:rRNA from 1 species